UCUCUGGCUGAACCCUACCAACCGUUUUCGAGUCCAUAGCAACCGCUAAGACUGGCGGAACCGAGCCGUUUUUGUCUCAGCAGUUUUCCUCUUACCGCCGGUUAUUCUGUGUCUCUACAGCAACAGUUUUUGUCAUGGAGGAGGAGAAGAAGUCAUCGCUUCCUGUUAAGCAGAUUUUCGUGAACGACGUCCACACGUACGUUUCCAAGCACGUCGCCCAGAUUAUAGGACAGAUUGAAGCUCCUGAGGAGUCGGACGAUGACGACUCAGACGACGAGAUGCCGAGUCCCCGAGACGAACCUGCUUUCCAGGUCGUAGGAACUUCCAUCAAUGAGGAAAAAGUCCAGAAUGUUCACCAAGUGUAUGUGUCCCCCAGCAGAGAGGAGCUGCAGCUGCUGCUGCUGGAUUGUGACAUUGUGGUUUACUGCGUCACCGAAAGUGCAAGUCAACAGCAGAUUGAAGAAGCAACAUGGGCAUUAUCAGUCCUUCAGGAUCAAAUGGCAAACUUCAUAACCCGGAGAUAUUUUAUCGUUGUCUCCACAUUGAUGACUUGGACGAAUUUCAGGCUUUCAGAUAUAAAUGACGCAGGUCUCCCUGUUUUAGAAGAAGAUUUUCUGCGCAGAAGGCCUCAUCCCAAGUUCAGGAAACACAAUGAGCUGGAGAAACUGGUGCUGAAGUUGCCCCGAGGUAAAGCAUCUAAACUCAAAGGUUACGUUGUAUGUGCUGGAUUUCAGUACGGAAUGGGAGAAAAUCUCUUCCACUACUUUUUUAAGGUUUCGUGGUUAAUGCAGGAGCCAAAGGUUCCCAUAUUUGGAAGUGGUGAAAAUUUUAUUCCCAUGAUUCAUGUUUGUGACCUUGGAAGAGUGGUCCAAGAGAUCAUUAAGCUGAAGCCAAGCCCAAGGUACAUCGUUGCCAUUGAUGAAUCCAAGACCACGUUAGAGGAAGUUGUAAAGACUAUUAGUGAGGUGCUCGGGCCAGAAAAAAUCUGCAAGUUACUUCCAGAAGACGCCAUCAAAAUGAACGCUUUUAAGCCGGAAGAACUGGACUGUCUCAACAUCAACCUGCGAGUGGAUGCCUCUAUAGUCAACGACUAUUUGGCCUUUGAAUGGACGAGUGAAGAGGGACUGGUGAAAAACAUCAAGAGCAUCGUGAAGGAGUACAAACUCACAAGACAGCUUUUCCCGAUUCGGAUCUGCCUGGUUGGCCCUCCGGCGGUGGGGAAGACGACUCUUGCCAUGAAGCUCUGCCAGUACUACAAACUUCAUUACAUCAACGUCAGCAACAUGUUUGAUGAGAAGAUUUCUCAUCUGGAGACGACGAUCGCUACCGAGGAGUACGAAGAAGAAGUUACCGAAGACGCUCUAGCUGCUGCACAGGACCAGCUGGAAUAUAUCAACAGGACUCUGGAGGACAACGAAGGUGUUCUCAGUGAGGACCUGAUUUUUGAGGUUCUGCGUGAAAAGCUUUUCUCUAAAGGAAGCCGGAACCAAGGGUUUGUUCUGGAUGGCUUCCCUCAGACUCUGGAUCAGGCAAAGGCGGUUUUUGCUGAUGAGAGUCAGGAGAACCAGGAUAUAGAUCUACUGUCCAAAAUGCCGUGGUACAACAAGUUCAUCACCCCAGAGUACAUUUUUGCCCUCGAAGCACCAGAUGAUUUCCUGAUCAACCGAGUGCAAGAGCUUCCAGACAGCGUAGCUGAGAAGAUGCACUACACCCAGGACGAAUUCACGUCUCGUCUGGGUGUAUACCGGCAACUCGACAGAGCUCCAGUAACCUUGUUGGACUUUUUUGAUCAGCGGGAACUCCAUCCAGAAUAUUUAGACAUCAGCUCAGAUGAUUCGGAGUACACAUCUUCUAUGAAGAAGAUUAUUGAGAUUAUAGGGGAGCCCAAGAACUACGGUGGGACUCCAGAGGAGGAGGCAGAGAAGAAGAGAAUUAAAGAGGAAGAGAGAAAGCAGAAACUGGCGGCGGAGGCAGCAGAGAGGAAGGAGAGGAAGACGGCUGCUCUGGCUGAGAUGACGGGUCAUUACGAGGAUUGGAAGAAGAGUCUGGGGAUGGUGUUGGAACAGGAGUCUGAAAUGUUGGAAGCCAGAGGUCUUCCUCUCAGAAACUACCUGAUGAAGCACGUGAUGCCUUCGCUGGGCGAGGCCAUGCUGGAGUGCUCCAAGGUCAAACCAGAAGACCCCGUCGACUUCCUGGCUGAACAUCUUUUACGGAACAGCACAGGAGACUGAACAACGUCAGAUCUAAACGUCAUGGACAAAUUGAGAUGAUCGGAAAAAGACAAGAGAACAUAAGACAGAUGUGAGCUGAUGUGCAUGACUCAGGACAUGGCUAUAGGAAAAUGGCUGCUUGCCAAAAAUCUGUCAAAUUCUGCACCUGUAGGUCUUCGGUGUGUCUGCCCAGGCGACUCUUGCAGGAGGAGCUCUCCACGUUGAUGUACUUGUACAUGCUCUGGACGUGGCUGACCGUGGCGUUGACGCUUGAGGCGAUGGUUUCAAUCUCCAUCUCGAUGGAGUUCAAACGGCCAUCCAAAGCUGAGAAACGCUCACCUGUCCGAUUCUCGUAGUACCUAAAAUAAACAGUUUAAAUUUA